rnacentral:rRNA from 1 species
AUGGAUGCUUGCGACAAACUGAAUGUGCGGUUUAAUUUCGGUGGGCAAUUUGUUCGAAUUGGACCUACUUUAGACUAUGUUGGUGGAGAUGAUGCAAUGUCAGAGAUUGAAAGGGAUAAAUUAUCUUUGCCAGAGAUCAAAGGAUUUCUUGGUGAUCACAUACCUUUCAAAGAAAGUAUGAAGCUUUACUUCCUGAUCCCUGGUAAAAAACUAGUGGAUGGCCUAUUAUUUUUGUGUGAUGAUGCUGGCUGUAUGAAGAUGUCUGAAUACAUAACUGAUGGAGGAGUGGCUGAGGUCUAUGUGGAGUACUUUGGGGAGCAAGAUGAUCAAAGUGCAAGUGACAGUGGUAGUGAUUUUGAAAAUGAGAUGGGCAAUGAGUUAUAUGGAGGGAGUGAUACAGAACCAGAUGCAGUCAUAACUGCAGAGGAAGAUGAAAGUGUGCUUGUACCAAAUGAUAGUGGUGUUAUAACCCAGGUUAUUAGCAGCCCUACAAAGCAC